rnacentral:lncRNA from 1 species
GUCUUAACCGUGUCAUCCAUUUUGAUCGUCGAUUGCAGAAGGCUCAGCAAAAUUUCCUUUAUGUUGUGCUGUUGAGAUACAGUAGCCCAGGCACGAACAUCAAAACGGCGUAGAAUUGAUUCAUGAUAGUAAACUUCUUUCGCUAAGGUUGUUUCACCUAUGCCUCCCAUCCUGACAAUCGGGAUGACUUUGGGUUCACCAGAUCUUCUAACAAGCCUUCCUUUUGAUCAUCACGUCCAACCAUAUUAUUGUUAACAUUCAGAAUAUCGUUUGUUGAACUUGAAAAAUCAUGAACCAAUGACUCCUUUGAUACUUGUUUGCCUUUAUCUUGAAUCUUUAUUGACUCUUUCCAGACAUGAUCAAUGUCCUUUGCCAAUUGUUGAAGGCAUUUAAGAAACUUUCGGCGUGUCCUUAUAUUCGAGAUUCCUUUGAAAAAUCUUGAGCGAAUGAUUCCUAUGAUGCUUUUAUUUUCUCUCAGUACAGUUUCUACUACUCUCAAUUGAAUUGUGUAUUCAGCAGCACUUGCAACUUCUUUUACCUCUACUUCAAAAUCCGUCAUUCCUCCAGAAACAUUGUUUUUCUCAAAGUUCUUGACAAAUACUUCCAGCGAACUAACUUUUUCAUGAAGAUCGCCAAGUUCUACUCUCUGAUCACAGAUGAGAGAUUGCAUCGGUGAAUUGGAUGUCAAGAGCGAUUCUAUUGUUCUCUUAAGAGAAACCACACUUGCAUGAGCCAUAUCUACUGUAUUCUCGUUUCUUUCCUUUGCGUUUAUGACCUGAAAGCUGCAGGUUGCAAGAUGUCAAUGGUAUUACAAAUACGCAGAUUUGCUAAAAAGGCACACAUAAACUAAAUAAGAUCAGGUAAUGUAUUUGCCUUAAUCAUAGCUAUCACAGGGUAACAGUGAGUUUAGUCCCAAACUCAGUAGCUUUAACGCGUAAAAAUAAUUUGACACCCAGUACAAUAGAUUGUGGUUCAAAACUCCACUUCACUUACAACUUUAUUUUUGAGGAGUUGGAGCAACAUAAUUAUAUACAUAGUACAAAGAGCUAAAUUAUACAUUGAUAAUCCACUACAAGUGUUAUUUUACUCUAAAACUUUAAUCAAAUGAGAGAGUAAUCAAGGGAAACUAACCUUUCAAUGGCAGAUCACACAGCUUCAAGAUCACUGCAAGAGAUAUUUGAGAAAAGGAUAGAAGAAAUGACAAUAUUGUGAGUAACAAUAAACAAAUGUAUAAAAAACAAAAGAUAAAGAGCACCUAACCAAGAUAAAAUUUGAGUGGCUGAAAUGAUAUCUGCAAAAUUUAUCAGCCCAAACAGUCCCUUAACUUUACAUAGUAGGUUCACUUAGGUCCCUGUAAUCUAAUGUUGAACAUAAAUGGUCCUUUGUCUCGGUAAAAAAGGGUGCACUUGGAAAAAAAUGUAUAGUGCUUUAUACACGUAGUGGGAUCUGGAGAUGGUAGAGUGUACGCAAACCUUACCGCUAUCUUAGAGGUAAAGAGAAUAUUUCUGAUAGACCCUUUGCUAAAGAUAAACAGUACAAAGCAGUUGAGAAAUAGAUGUCCCUUAUUUAAAAUAUAGAGAAAGCCAGAGAAUAAUGCUAAAACAUGAUAAUGUAAUGGUAAAUUUAAAAUUUAAACAGUAAGAACUAUGAUGAAAUCCUUGAACUUCAAUCUUUCUAGCUAUAUUCCGAAAUGAAAUUUCAGUAAUUGCUUUUAAACUAAAACAAGAGAAUCACCAUAUAAAUGCACAUUUCCGUUCAUUUAUUAAAUAACGUUACCAAAUAAAAUGAGUGUGCGAUCGUGUUAACCAUUAUGAGCUCAUGAACUCAAAAAUUUAGUAAUGCCCAACUGAGUAAUAUUACUAAAAAUUCUAUCAACUCAAAAAUAUGUUACAAUACGAAAGAGAUCAUAUCUGCUUCAGUAAUUUAUCAUGGUUAGGGAGCAUUUGGCCUCUUUAUAUGAUAUCCGGCAAUCCUCACCUCUUCAACUAGCUUCUGCGUUGAGUUAGGUCAAAGGUCCGUUUCUUUAGCUCAUCACAUAAAUAAUCAAUAAGUGAAUUAGAAUUUCAACUGAUAUAACAAUACAUGAGGGAGAUACAACAAAUGAGCUUGUAAGGCAAUAUUCUUGGUAAUCACUGUCGCAGAGCGGCAAACGAGUCGCACAGCAUUCUGCAGUUGCUAUGUCGGUGCUAAAUGGUCCUUACUGACAGGGACAUAGACAGCCUUAAUUCUACCUAAACGAUCGUUUAAGGGCUUAAGAGAGGUCGGGAAGGACAAAUCAUAGUGAAGGGUGGUUCGUAGAUUAGUAUGACCUUCAACGUGAAGUGGUCGGGUUCACUCCUUCUUGAGGAAGGGAUUCAAUGUAUUCGGCAAAACUCAGUAGAUUAAUCUUAUUUAGUUUGUCAAAAUAUUUAACUCCCCAAAAAAGAUUACGGUUCAGAACCCAUAGACUAAAAAUCCUGGCUCCUUUUUGCUUACUUAGUAAUGUUUUCUUAGGAUGAUGUUUGGAUCUAUCCUAAAUACAGACUUGUACUAUAUAUCUAUGUUGCUGGAACUCUUUAAAAAGGUUGUCACACCUGUGUCUAAUUCUCAAAAAAUGCAGGUGUUUAUAGCCAUCAAGUGCCUCUUACAAAAGGAAGCAAUGGUUCCUCGGAAAAGUGUAUCCCUUUAUGUUUAGUAAUGCUUUUCACUAAUGAAGUUUACACAAUGAAGUGAUUAAUUUUGACAUACGGCAAAGAUAUCUGUGCCUUCCAGUUUUCAAGCACACAUUCUCCACAGAGACAUAGAAAAACAGAAUCUUAGUGCUCAUUAGUUUGACUGCAGACAAUGAGUUCAGGAACACAGGAUUAGAAAGGUCCGAGUUCUUAGCAAAGGAUUUGGAAUGGUUUAGGCAGCAAGGUCAUGCCAUCCCGGAACCGUCAACUCAUGGUGUCAGCUAUGCUCAUUACUUAGAGGAGCUAUCAGAAAAGGACCCUCAAGAAUUUAUUUGCCAUUUUUACAACACUUACUUUGCGCAUUCAGCUGGAGGUCGAAUGAUAGGGAGAAAGGUCAGUAAUGUCGUCUUUGAAGUUUUUAGUAUUAUUCUACAUUGUACUUCUGAUACUGUGGCAUAUAAAGCUAGAUUUUCAUCAUAGAAAUAUGGAAUGAGAGAAAUAAGGGUAUCCGAGGACACCCAAGGGUGUGGCUUAGUAGUCAAUGAAGUGGGAGGAGAAAUAUGAUGAGGUUCAAAUCCGAGCGGUGGUAAAAAAAAUACUAGGCGGUUCAUUCCGUUUACCUAAGCCUUGCUAGGUAGAGUUGCCCCAUAUCUGUGCUGGUGAGAAGUAUCCAAAGCGAGCACAAGCUAGACCAUGUUGGCGUUCGAUCCCUUUUACUCGUUAGUACUUCAACUUUGAUGGAUAGUUGAAAUAUUACUAGUCCCUGUCUUUAUCAUCACUUAAGUCCUAACAUCAACUUAGUCUGUUGAAAUUAUGAUUACAGUAGCAAACAAACUAAACAACAUUGUAAAAACGAAAAUUGCAGUAUUAAUCAGUGUAAAAAAUGUCCGGCAGAUGAUAAAUUCAGAUUAGAAGAAAUGUAACAUGGAGUAAUCCUAAACUGUCGAGAACUAGUGCUGUUGUAGAAGUUGUCACCGUAUUGCAUUGUUUCUUUUCCUUCUUAGACCUACGAACGUUAAAGGAAAAAAAGGUAACCAGUUACUGUCCACAAUCUUGCUUCUUCUUGCUUUAUAGGUAGCUGAAAAGAUACUUGACAAGAAAGAGCUAGAAUUCUAAAAAUGGGACGGUGACCUUUCUCAGCUGCUGCAGAACGUUAGAGAUAAGCUGAACAAAGUUGCAGAAGUAAAAUUUUUGACUCAUUAAUGUAGAGACCAAACCUUCAUUAGGGAUUCAAUUCUCUCUGAGCGCAUGUUAGCGUAAUGUGCGCACCCAUGGGGAGGAGAGCUCGAACCGUAUCUCGGAAGGCAAUCGAAGCUCAUGAAAAUGCAAAACAACUAAGGAAGAAGGGAUCUCAAGGCAAUUGUGCACAGGGGAGCAAGCAAGCAUGAAGAAUUUAAGUGACGACGAAGCAAUUGCGGAACAUAGUGAAGAUGAACUGCCAUCGCAAUUGGACCUUGAUGAAGUACUGGGAGCACCACAGAAGGCAAUUGAAUUGCAGGAAUCUAAUGGAACAGUGAAUGUUCAGACUAACGUACCUAACCCUACACAGGUAGUGAGGGACUGGGAAACAAUCACUAAGACGAAAAUGGAUGCUAGGAGAAGUUCCUGGGCAGAUGAAGUGGAAAAGGAGGAAGAAACAGAGCGGAAGGCUUCAAUUUGGGAUAAUUUUGACAUUUCUAAAGUGUCAAAUGCAGGAUUUAAGCUCGAAUUUGUCUAUCCUCUCAAAGCUGGGGGAGAUAAGGUAUGUGAAAUUGAUGUCGAUGAUAUAUCAACUGAAUUGGAGUAUUGGAAGAACACUAUUAUAUGCUAUGUACCUGGUGCACAUCCACCCUUUUCAGUUUUGAAUAGCUACAUAAAGAGAAAAUGGGGUAAGCAUGGAGUGAAUAAGGUCUCAAUGUUGAAAAAUGGCAUUACAUUAGUAAGAUUUGACAGUCAGGCAGGCAUGAGUGAGGUUUUACGUGAAGGAAUAUACCAUUUCGAUAAUAAGCCACUCAUAGUCAAGGCAUGGCAUGAGGACAUGGAGUUUACAAAAGAUGAGUGGUAUACUGUGCCAAUUUGGGUAAAAUUGCCAGGAUUAGAAUUUAAAUACUGGGGAAGGGUCAGAUGGUGCAGUGGUAUCGAGGGAAUAGGUACAUCCUGACAACAACUGGUAUUUACUCAGUAUCAUCGAAUGCUUUACUGGGAAAUCGAUAAAGGGUACAGGUUGCUUACUUAAUGUGGAGUUCACUCAUGCUACCUAAACAACGGGUAAUAGUCUGGCUAGCCUAUCAAGAAAGACUGCUUACAAAAAUGAGACUCUGAAAGCUGAAUAUUUUGAUGGAUGACACCAAAUGUUGUUUAUGUGAUGAUGACAAGGAAGAGACACAUUUGCAUUUAUUUGCUACUUGUGAAUGGAUAACACCACUGACGAAUAAGUUGAGUCAAUGGUUGGGGAUUACAAUUAUACGUGGCAGUACUACAACUACUCUUAAAUGGAUCAAAACAAGGAGAUGGAGCCAAUUCAAAAAGGAAAUUGUAGCUGCUGUUUGGGGAGCAUCACUUUACCAUACAUGGCAUGCUAGAAAUAGCAGAAUAUUUCAACAACAAAAUGUGCAGGUGGACAUUAAGCUGGUACAGAUACAAAAGGAAAUAAGGGAGAGAUUAUACAUAUUGCAACACACCAGAAGAGCUGGGAGAUGUCAGGCUUUGGUCGGGAGACUUUGUAGUUAAAUGUUGUUUAUUUUGGUUAUUUUUGAGGUCUAGAUGUGUGGAUUACAUGAAGGUGAUUACACUCUGGAGGCUCUUUGGUUGUAAUUGAUUGAUGUUGCAAUGGUAACAUUCACAAAUAGUUACAAAAAAAAAAAAAAGUUGCAGAAGUAUAAUCCUUCAUCCCCUCUUUACAAGUUUUUGGCUUUUCAAAACUGUUAACGACCUGUUAUUAACAACUUAACAUGAUCGAUUUUCAUCGAUGCUUUUGCUCAGAACUGGACUAGAGAGCAGAAGAACCAUUGUCUGGAAGAGACAGAGAAGUCAUUCAAGUUCUCCGGGGCCAUCCUCCGAUUGAUAUUCUCUUGAUGCACAACUUUUUACGCUUUGUUUCCUUGUUAACUUGUACAUUGGAUGGUCAAAACCUGCAAAUUUCUGUGAAUAGUCGUGUUUCUUUUCGCGUUUAAGUCUGUCUGCAGUAUAUAAGAACUUGAUUAUAAUUCAAGUGUUACAUCAUUACUCAAUUCUCAAUGUUGCUGAUACUUGAACUAUGGGCUGUCCAGCCUCAUAGAAACUUAAUUGAAGGCGUAAAAGAUGACAAACGACGUUUUCUAUGUUGCUUGUACUCUCCAAAAAAUAUGCCGUACCCAUGUCAAAUCUUUCAAAAAUGAACCACUUUUGAAAGAUCCGACACGUACCCAUUGACAUUUUUGAAGAGCAACAUAGCUAGUUUGAACUAGUCACUUCCACUUUGUUCACAUUGAGCUGCAGAAAACACACAAAGGCUUAGCUAUGAGUUUCAUAAUCCACUUAACCAAAAGAACUAUUUAAUACUCGAUACGAACUCAAAUAGUAACUAAUUUUUAAUACGACUAAAGUUCAAUUACAAAUUUAGAAAGUAAAAGCAACAACUGAUACAAGCACAAGGAGCAUCAAGAGUACAAGGUAUUAUCUAAAGGUCAAGGCUUCGGAAUUAGCAAGCAACUGAAGACUUUUUGAAGUAUUUUGAAGCCUUGGUCGAGAGAAGGAAGGAGGGGAUCUUAUACUCUCAAGAGGCGCCCUAAGUUAGGGUUAUUAUAGACUUUUAAGACUCUCUUUUUUUACACUUCAAAGGAGCACCCUUCAUUAAGGAUAUUUUUGUCAUUGUUUGUUAUAAGUAUAAAUAGACACCUUAGAUACUAUUUUCAUUAGACUUUGAUGAAAUUAUUGAGAGAUACUCUUUAGUUGUAGUUUUCUUCCUCUCUAAGAGAGAAUCUGAAAUUAGGAUUAACGCUAAGUGAUGGAUUUCACUUCUGUUGGCAAAUUGGCAAGAAAGGUUGGUGCUUGGGGAAGGUGACUCCCUUUGUGUCUACCUAAGAGAGUGGUUUGAGCUUCCAUUAGUUAGGUGUGAUUGAAGAUUUGAUACAUCUUCUUUUGUUAAUAACACAGUGAUUGUAAGGGUCUCUCAACUAUCUUUAUAUUUUAUGCAUUCUUCUUCAUCCCUCUUCUUCUAUGUGUUGUUUUCUGUAGUUGCUGAUUUUUGUGUCCCAAGUCCUUAAUUUCGGUUAUUAGCUUGUUUUAGUGUAUCAACAACUCGAAAGGUAAGAGCUCAAACGAAAAUGUAGAAAUAUUGAAAGUACAAACAAGGAUAGAGUCGGAGAAAGCGAGAUGAGAGACAGAGACUUUGCUAAGCAUGAUCAACCUGGAUCCCAAGUAAAUCUCUUAUUUGGCUAGCUAUAAUUUUUAGGCCUCUUCGUUGUUUAGACCCUCGCCCACUAGCUUGGCCGCCCAAUGCCCAUAGGUUUACAACAGGAAGUCCUGUGUACCUCACUAAUAGUGUUUACCUGGAUCAUUGUAAGAACGAACAUCUACAGCUUUGCUUCCCAGUGAUUCUUGCUCUUCUUGAAUUCGUUGCACUACAGUUCUGUGAUUCGAUUAGUUGUAGUGAGUAAAUAUCUGCAAACUCAAUAGGGAUCUCCUCCAAAUGAAGGCAAUGUCUGAUCACCAGAUGGUCAAGAGCAGGAAAAUGAUCAUUUGUAGCUUUCCAACAUUUCAGAUUUGUACCUUCAAUUAGCAAAAGAAUAUGAUUUUUGACUUAUUUUUAUUUUUUGGCUUAAAAAUACUUUUUCGUUCAAUUUUUAUCCAUCACAUUACCCUUCUCGAGAGCCAAAUGGCAUGAAAUUUGAACAGUAUUUUAGGAUUUAUUAUUUCAUUAUGUUAAUAUAAGAAGGACUACAAUGUAUAUCAUUUUUUGUAUACUUUUCAAACAUAUAAAUUUAAAAUAUUACAUUAAUCUACUUCAAUUUAACUUUGAAGUUUAGUAAAUUUGACUUUUAUUAAAAAAAAUUGUCAAUUAAAAAUGAAUGAAAGGACUAAAUAUCUAAAAAUAUAUAUUUUAUUUUGUACGAACAUUUAAAAAAUGUUUAAAAGCACUUAAAACAAAGAAAUGCAACAAAGUACAUAAAUCAGGCUCCCCAUCAAUGCGAUUUAUGUAUUAUAUCAAUCCCUUUAUAUUUCAAGGGUAUUUCCGUUAAUAUUCAUUGUUUUAGGAACAAAAUGAUAUUAUAUCUCUUCUUUUUCAUGUAUAAAAUUCCUUUUAUUUAAUAAAACCUUAGCGCCAUUUUUGUUCUCAAAUUUCAAAAUAUUAACAAUUUUCUCUUCCACUCUGUAAUUCAAAGUGAGUAAAUUUUUUUUUCGAUAUGUUUUUAUUUUUUUUGGUUUCUCAUUCGGUGUUCGUUAUUAGUAUUGGAACUCGACUAAUUUAGAUUCGCGUGCAUGAUUUUUGCUAAUUUGUAUAGGAAAAAUCUAAUGGCUUUUUGGUCAAUUCCUAAAUAAAAGCAGUCAUUUUUAGUUAAUUGUUGUAAUUAUUCUGAAAUAAGAUAGGUUUGAAAUAUUAUUAAAAAUUUUUGGGUUUUUGAUUUCUGCAAGUUGUUGAGUGAGUGUUUUUUGUUUUUUUGUUUCCAUUCGGUGUUCGGUACCAGUAGUGGAGCUCGGACCUACAAAAUCCUCCUUCAAUUGGACGCCAUUCCAGGCCACGACAGGCAUUUGAUUUCUGCUUCAGCACCUCGAGAUUAGGCCAUUGACCUAUGAUGUUCAAGUCCUCCCACGCUAGACGAGUUCCAACCAGCUUUAACUUCUUGAGCUCUGUCGGAAAAUAUGUUGCAUUAGGUACACACACUGUCGAUUUAUGGGAUCUUGAACUCCAGUGACUUACGUGAUAACGAUCAACUUUAAUACUCAAUGUUUCUACCUGAUGCAGAUCAAAAAUUUCACGGAUGUCCAUAACUUCUUCACGCAUGUCAUAGUCAUAGACGUGCCCCCGAAUACAGAACUUCUUAAUGUUUUGAAUCCCGGAAAGGACUUUCUCAGUGCAACAAUAAGGAAGCAAGCCCGAAACAGACUGUAUGUUCGACCAAAUCAAGUUCCUCUCUCCGUCAAUGGAUGAACUUAGAGGAUCCAGAAAAUAAAAGAUUCGGAGUUUCAGGUGUCUCAGUUGCUUUAUUUCCCAAGUUAGUUCUGGAAACUUUAUAUAAAAGAGUGAACUGAUCCUUGAACAAUGAAAGUUUGUAGAUUCAAUAAUUUGCGAAUUCCUCGAGGUAUGCCAAAAGAUGUGUGAGUCGAAAAAGGUAGGUACCUCAACAAAAAGAGAGAAAGUAUCUGCAGUGGAAAAUUUGAGAAGUACAUCGAGCUCAAGUUCAAGACUGAUUAAAUUCAAAUGACCAAGCUCGAAAUUGGAAUUAGUACUGAGAGAAGGCGCAGCAAACAGGAAAAUUGAAUGAAUUCUUCUCAAUGGACUAUUAUCACCAUUGGUAUGUGUAAGAGACGUUACAAAAUUCUCAUCCGGAAGAGCAUCAUGAUCUCUCAACUGACGAUGCACAGGGGUAAGAAGAGCCCUAUAAAGACCAUAGGGAUAAUAUAUCAAAAAGAUGAUUAUUCAAUUUUUUUUUUUUUUAUAUCUUUUUGACAACAUUAUAUGUAUUUUUUUAAAAAAUAAUUAGUUUCUAUAAAACCGAAGAACGUAAUACAUUUACAUUUAUGAAAAACAAAGGGUGAUGAACUAGCAUCAGCAGUCUAUAUAACAGUAUCAAAUUGUUAAUCCCAUGUUUCCCUUUUCAUUACAGGUUAUUCUGAACAUCGAACAACCAAUUAAGAUCGUAAUUAUCAUCAUGUUUUGCAGCAUCAGAAUCACCAUCUUCUGCAACAUCAACAUCUGAAUCAUCAUCAUCUUCUGCAACAUCAACAUCUGAAUCUUCUUCUUCUUCUUCAUCAUCAUCAUCAUUAUGAUGUGAUCGUACCACUGUAUGAUGUGACUUGUGAAAAUGAGAAACUGUGUGUAACCUUGAUAAAUAUAUACUUACCUCGAUAAAAUCAAUACAAAGUAUUUCACUACUUGAUAUUUCGAUUAUUUCAUAAAAGAGUUGAAUCCAAUUAAACCUCAUUUUUCACUAGAAUUUAUACAAUCGAUACCUUAAAAUUCCUGUGCAAAUGACAACAAAGAGAACAAACAUCUACUCUUCAUUUUCAUCUUUUUUUUAAUUGUAAUUUAAUGGCAUGGUUUGACAUUAGUCCAUUUGUUUGUUCAAUCAAUCUUAACCCGCCCAACUUCAGCUCAAACAGCCCAUUUGCCACCCUUAGACCAAAUGUGCUCACAUUUAGCAAGCUUAAACUAAAGUAACAAAACUGCUCAAAAAUAUAUUUAACGGGCCAUUUUGAACUACCCUCAAAUAUAAGAGAUAUUCUUGUUAAUUUCUGUUACAUUUUAAGUAGGAUUUUAACCAAAUUUUGUCAAAGUUAUUUUUGUGAAAGAAUAUGGGGCAAAGCUAAGUAACUUUUGUGUACGACUUGACUUUUGGAAAUGAGAAACAGAGUGUGACCCUGAUAAAUACUAUAUACUUACAUGGAUAGGAGAUGCGAACAUCCACGGGAUCGUUUCCGAGAUCUUCUUGUUCUUGUUGAAUUCUUGCAGCAGAUUUCCCAAGUUCGGGAAGACACCUUGUUAACUCAAUCAGUUGUAAUAGUGUGGGGAUUUCUGCAAACUCAAUGGGUAUCUCUUUCAAAUUAUGGCAUUCUUUAAGAACGAGGCGCUCAAGGACAGGAAAAUUGUCAUUUGUGGCUUUCCAGUAAUUGAGAAGAUUAUCUUCAAUUAAUAAAAGCUUCAAUCGAGUAAAUCCCCUGACAUUUGGAUGCCAUUCUUCGCCACAAUAAGCACCACCCAUCAGCUUCAGCACCUCAAGGUUAGGCAAUUCAGCUAUGAUGUCCAAGUAUGACCAACUUAUCAAAGUUCUUUCCAACUUCAGCUUCUUGAGCAUUGCUGGAAAAGUUUCACUAUAACAUGAUGUAAAACUCAAUGUUUCAAGUUGAUGCAGAUGGAUAAGAUUGUUGAGAGGCCCAGAGUCCCGAUAACAUCCAUAGUCAGUCACAUCUUGUCUAAUUCCUAAUUUUUUAACAUUUUGAAUCCCCAAAAUAACAUCCUUCGUGCAACAACGUGAAGACAAGUAAGAAAUAGUUUGUAAGUUUGAAAAAUCCAAGUGCCUCCCUUUGUCAACAGAUCCACUUGGGCAAUCUGGCAAAUAAAAUGUGGGCAGUUUGAGAUGCCUUAAUUGCAUUAGUCCCCAAAUUUGCACUGGACAUUUAAUGUCUACAGAUGAUUCAAGAUUCCCUUUAACAAUUAAUGUCUGCAGAUUCCAUAAUCUGCAAAUUUCUGGAGGUAUGACUAAAUUCUCAUGGCAGAGCAAUGAUAGGUACCUCAACCAGAUGAGGCUUAGUAUCUCUACAGGGAAAUGAUCAAUCAUUAUGUGCCUCAACUCCAAGACUUUGAGUAAAUUGAAAUGAAUAAGCUCUGAUUUGAGAAAACGAUAUGAAUCUUCAAGAAGAAAAGAGAAAAUAGAACGGGUUUGUUUCAAAAGAUCAUUGUUGUCAUGAUCUCUCAACUGAUGAUGUACAGGGGUAAGAAGAGCCCUAUAAAGACCAUAGCGACAAUAAUAAAUUUUAUCGCCAGUCACGCGUUUAAAGGGCUGCAUUUUUUGCAUAUUGAAACAUGGAGAGUAAUCAAGCACAAUGUCGUUCAUGAUAAAAAUGUUUCCCCUUUGAACUUCUCUCAAGCACAGGUCAAAUAUUAGAUCAUGAACCUUACAUGAUCUAAUUUUUGUACAUGAUCUAAUUUUUGUUCCAUCUAGACUUUUCUUGCAGACGAGGACUAGACAUCUAUUGACAAGCUCUUGCAAACACUGGUCAGCCUCUCCUUCCAAAUCAUUUUCCAACUUCAGGAACCCCUCGGCCAUCCAUGAUCUCAUCAAAUUUUUCGCUGGUAUCUCACUGUCUUCAGGAAAAAUUCCGAAAUGCAGAAGAUAAGUCUUUAGAUCGCUAGUCAAGUGAUUGUAACUCAACCUAAGCACACGUGAACAUCGUUCAUCAGCAUCAUUUGUAACAACUGACUUGACAUCUUUAGCAACAUUUUCCCAGUCUUCUAUUGCCCUUUUAGACCUGAGAAGCCCAGCAACCACGGCAAUAGUUAGUGGUAACCCGUGACAUUCCUCUGCAAUUUGCUGCCCAAUAGUCUCGAACUCAGAUGGUAAUGCUUCAUUUGCAAAUGCAACACUUUUAAAAAGGUUCCAACUCUCAUCCGGACCUAUGAAGCCCAUCUGCAAAGAAAGAUUCUCUGUACCAGCACAGCGAGCUACUUCAGUGUUACGGGUCGUCAACAGUAUUCGACUCCGCUUGUUUUCACAUGGAAAACAUAGUCUCACGGCAUCCCAUGCUUCACUUUUCCACAUGUUGUCCAAUACAAUUAAAUAUCUCUUACCCUUCAAACUCUUUUGAAGCAUGUCUGCUAGCUCUGCCUCACUGCCCGUGAAAACUUUGUCAUCCUUUGUUGAACGCAAAAGGCUCAACAAGAUUUCCUUUAUGUUGUGUUGUUGAGAAAUAGUAGCCCAGGCACAAACAUCAAAAUGAGAACGAAUGCACACAUCAUUGUAAACUUCGUUCACUAAGGUUGUUUUACCUAUGCCUCCCAUCCCGACAAUCGGGAUGACUUUGGGUUCACCAGAGUAGCCUGUUGUCAGAUCAUUUAACAACCGUUCCCUUUGAUCAUCAUGUCCAACCAUAUUAUUGUUAACAUUCAGAAUAUCGUUUGUUGAA